AUAAAAGUAAUGAUGGGAAGAGUAAGUUGGCAUACAUGUCAAAGAGAACCGGGAAUGGUGUGAACCGGCACAUAAAACCAACCCAACAUGGCCCCUGAACUGUACAGGUGAGGCAGCUGCUAAGCCUGUGCCGGUAGGCUGACGUUAUACAGCACAGUGAUGAAGCCCUUUGGGCGAGUCACUUGUUAAGUUUUCUGCCGUGAGGCAGGAAAGAAUCAGGGUGGUAACACGAACAGCUUUCGUCCCUUCA
rnacentral:ncRNA from 1 species